rnacentral:rRNA from 1 species
UGGGGAAUAUUAGACAAUGGGCGAAAGCCUGAUCCAGCCAUGCCGCGUGUGUGAAGAAGGUCUUCGGAUUGUAAAGCACUUUAAGUUGGGAGGAAGGGCUGUCGGCUAAUACCCUGCAGUUUCGACGUUACCAACAGAAUAAGCACCGGCUAACUUCGUGCCAGCAGCCGCGGUAAUACGAAGGGUGCAAGCGUUAAUCGGAAUUACUGGGCGUAAAGCGCGCGUAGGUGGUUCAGCAAGUUGGAUGUGAAAGCCCCGGGCUCAACCUGGGAACUGCAUCCAAAACUACUGAGCUAGAGUACGGUAGAGGGUGGUGGAAUUUCCUGUGUAGCGGUGAAAUGCGUAGAUAUAGGAAGGAACACCAGUGGCGAAGGCGACCACCUGGACUGAUACUGACACUGAGGUGCGAAAGCGUGGGGAGCAAACAG